ACUAAGAGCAUUAAGAUCUCACGUCUAAUUCCAAGUGUAGGUCAUCUGCAAUUCAGCCUACAUUCUGCAGACCUAGCUAGCGCCAUGUGUGGUGGUAGAAGCAGCAUUAAUCUGUUAACGCCCCACAUCAUGUAAAGUUUCAUUCUAGAGAACGAUUUACACAUUCCUCGUUAUCCAUCUAUGCCCUCUUUAUAUUAUGUCCGGCAUGAUUGUUUCAUCUGAUCUCGCUCACCGCUUGUCGCUUGAUCUUUUGUUUUUGCUAGCUCAUUGGCCCAAUUAACCAUUUGUCCUGGAUUGGCAUGGGAAGUUUUGUGAUCUGCAAAGUAAAACUAAGGUGCAAUAGAAAUGCUGUGACGUUACCCAAAAGAGUUAGGACCUUGAAGGUAUCGUUCUCCGUUCUCCAAUGAGGCAAAUCUUUUAACGUUACAAGAUUUCUGUGAACAAUACGGGGUGCCGGACUAGUCAUUGCUUCUGUUAACUGGGUGAAACUGCCCAGACACUUACGGUUAUAUAUGGAGUUGUUUUUUCUAGUUGAAAAGGGCACCAGCCCCUGCUCCGUUCUCAUUGAAAAUGAAACCACAAUUCAUACAUGAACACCUUUAGGGGCAAGCUGCUACGCCAUCCCAGAACAUAACUACCCCAACAUUAUUACAGCACCAACGAGCACAGAGCUACCAAAAGUACUUCCUGUGUAAACUAAUAUAAGAGCAUUUAGAACACUAUUUUGUGGUGGCGGCGCUCAGGUGUCGUUUCCUUUCUCAAGGCACCAUCUUGGAGCCCAUUGUUAAUCAUGCACAACUUCUCCUCAUCGCGGUGGCUCAUCCGCUGCUAAGGGCUCCGAACCCUCCAACCACUUCAUAGUACUGCUUAGUGUUUUAUGUGAUGUUUGCUUGGAGUAGUUGCGGGUGGUGUUGCUGUUUUCACCGUCCUUGUAUCUAGCCUUGGGUGAGUGUGUUGUCUUGGUAUGGGGUGUGUGUGUUGUAUCGGCUUUGUUCGGUGAUGAUUGCUUUAUAUAUAAAGUAGGGAAAACCUUUUUACGUCCAAUAUAAGUAUACCCACCCUGCUUGUGGACUUCUUAUUUAUGCAAGUCUCCCUUCCAAGACCUGGAAGCACGAAACAACUUACUUUGAAUCCAGAUUUUUCUAUUACAGUUUAGACCCAGCACCACAUAUGAAGAUGUUAGUUCGUUUAUCGUUUCUAGUUUGUCCACAACCAUUAGUUAGGUGUGGGAGGUACCAGGGAAAGCAACUAUAUGAAGGUGUGGGGCUUACUUCGGUCUGGAGAACCAAUGUGUACUUGCGUUCUUCUUUUUGCAAUUCAAGGUAAUAUAAUUUCAGAACGUAAAGGACACCAUCUGUGCUGCGUAUGAUCGUCGAAGGUGCUUUCUAGUAUAGCUUAAUUGACAGAGGCUUCUGACCACGUUGAAAUGAACUGCCCGUGAAGCUUGAGACUGUCUAGUAUAGCUUAAUUGACAGAGGCUUCUCUUUAGACUUGUGGGAGACUUGGUCUCAACUGUGAAGCUCAUGUUGAAAAGGAUACCGCACGUUCUGUACUGCAUAUUUUCUUGUAAAACAGAAGUACUAGCUCAUAUCAAUCACUUUUAAUUAAAGUUCUUAAUUCGGAUUUAAAAAACAAAGUAAUAUAUUUUGUAUUGUAACUUGUAAAUGGUCAUUGGUCA
rnacentral:lncRNA from 1 species